UGCAAGGCAAGGGUUUAGCCACUGAGCCAUUGUGCCAGAUCCUUCUCAUGUAUCCCUAAUGGCCAACCCAGUACAGUUUCACUUAAACAAAUAUGCUGUACAUGAAAAUAUGAUUUUUUUUUCUAUAAGGCUUUUUUUAAACAUCUCUGUGCCUUCAGGAAAUGGACAAAAGUGAUUAGCUCUAUGAUGAGCAAAAGUUAUUUGCUGUUAAGUGGUACUAGGUUUUUGGUAGACUUAGGGGAUAGUCUCAUUUUCGCUCUGGUGAAGCUCCAAUAUA